GUCCAGACUCCUACGGGAGGCAGCAGUGGGGAAUAUUGCACAAUGGGGGAAACCCUGAUGCAGCAACGCCGCGUGAGUGAGGAAGUAUUUCGGUAUGUAAAGCUCUAUCAGCAGGGAAUAGAAAAGAAGGUACCUGAAAAAGAAGCCCCGGCUAACUACGUGCCAGCAGCCGUGGUAAUACGUAGGGGGCAAGCGUUAUCCGGAUUUACUGGGUGUAAGGGGAGCGUAGACGGCGAUGCAAGUCUGAAGUGAAAGGCGGGGGCCCAACCCCCGGACUGCUUUGGAAACUGUAUGGCUGGAGUGCAGGAGAGGUAAGUGGGAUUCCUAGUGUAGCGGUGAAAUGCGUAGAUAUUAGGAGGAACACCAGUGGCGAAGGCGGCCUGCUGGACGAUGACUGACGUUGAGGCUCGAAAGCGUGGGGAGCAAACAGGAUUAGAUACCCCUGUACUG
rnacentral:rRNA from 1 species